rnacentral:lncRNA from 10 species
CUGGGGGCCAAGAGGGAGGCUUCCAGAAGACAACAAAAGUCCAUGAAGAACAGGGCACUUCUCAGCAACCCUCAAGGAAGCAAUUGAACUAAAGCUUGAAAACCAUGGGGUCACUGAGAGAAGGAGCCUGAAGAGAGAAAAGGAUGAAGGACCCAAAAAAGACUAACAUUUAACAGAUGGGAUGUGAAACAGAACCAGAGGAUGCGGCUAUAAAACGCCAUCUUGGAAGCGAGACUGGGCUCUCAGCAGACACCAAACCUUCAUCUGGGACUUCCCAGCCUCCAGAACUGUACAGAUAAAGAUGAAACAUCCAAUUGCAGAUAUGAAUGACCUAAUUCAAUGGAUGAGUCUGGAAGAGGACCAAGUUCAUGGGAAAGAUCAAAAAUUCAGUUUUGAAGAUGUUGAUGAGAAGAUGAGACAAAACCAUGUAUAGAUGCGGAUGAGCUAAUUAAAUAUAUGAGUCUGGAGCUGAAAGGAAAUGCCUUGACAAGAGAAGUAAAUUUGAGGACCAUCAGUAUACAGAUGUACUUGAAUCCAUCUAUGUAAAUGCAAUCACCCUGGGAGGAAAUUUAGAGUGAGAACAGGACUGCGUGGAAAGACAUUAAAGAAGUUAAAGAAAGAAGAACUAACAAAGGCAGGAGAGAAGAAGAGGACGGAGAGGUAGGAGAGAAACCAGUAAUGUGCGAUGGCAUAGAAAUUAAGGAAGUUUCCAAGAUUGAAGAAGGAGGGAGAGAGGGCUAUGGAAGUCACAGGUUGGAGGUGGUGCCCAGAGCCUGGAAUAAACAUUUACCCUAGUGUUCAUCAGAGAGUGAAUGAGGCCUGGGAAUCCAAGACUUGCCAAAGAUUAUUCUGCCUGGAACAGGUCAAAAUACAGCAAAGGAUAUGAAGGGACACUACAAGAUGGGAAAAUGGGUGCCUCAUUGUUAACUGAUGUGGACAGAUGAUGGGUAACCACAUAAUCUUCUCUACGUCAUUUUUGAUACUACCAAAAAUUCUGGGUUCUUGGCAUCAUAGCAAAACUCAGAUGUAGAGAGAAGCCCCACAAUUAGAUGAAGUAAAAUUUUCCUACUUGAAGUUGAAUUUCACUGAAGUGAAAUCAGGUCACAGAGUCUAAAAUUAAGUUGAUCUAGGAAAACUGAAAAAAAGAGUAUUUAUUCCACAGUUGAAGUGUAGAAAGGAAUUAAUCUAUGCUAUAAUAGUAAUAGUUAAAAUUUAUUGAACUUUUACUAUAUGACAAGAACUUUGAUAAUAUGUUUAUUUGCAUUGACUAGUUCAUUUAAUUCUGACAGAACUUUUUAAUAUACUUAUACAUCACUUAACAAUGAAGACACAUUCUUAGAAAUGCACUUUUAGGUAAUUGUGCCCUUGUGUGAACAUCAUAGAGUGUACAUACACAAACCUAGAUGAUAUUGAUAGCAACAAGAAACAGACAAGGCAGACAUGGAUGGGUCCCUGGUGAAACUCAACCUUCAAGCCAAGAACAGUCUAAAGCCUGAAAACCAAGCAACAGUUACAGAUAGAAUUCACGGACCAGAAUGAGAACUUCCAUUUCCAUCUUACCUACUCUCUCUCUAUUGGUUCUUUCUGAAUGAUGCCUUUUAGCCAAUCAAAUGCUCCCUUUUCCAAGCCCACCCAUAAAUCAAUCAGCAUGCGUUCCCCCCAUUCUAAGUUCAUAAAACCCUGGAUUCAGCCUCAUAGACGGCUACGCUCUUUGGGGUCCCCUCUUGCUGUUGAGAGCUUUUCUUUCAUUCAGUAAAUUCUACUCUGCCUUACCCUGCCUCCAGUGUCCACGUACCUUAUUACUCUUGGCCACGGGACAAGAACCCAUAACUCACUGAACUAUGGGAGCAAAAGAGCUGUAACAUUCCUGUUCACUGAGCCGUGGGCAGGAAGAGUAAAAGAGCUG